rnacentral:misc_RNA from 1 species
AGGGAGUGUGUCCUCUAUGCAGGAAACUGUUACUUGAAUACACUAUAUAACUUACAACAAUGAACAUGCACCUCUAUGUGAAAACAACCGAGAUUCUGUUUCUCGUGACAAGGAAAUUAGUAGGUAAGUUGUGGUUCAAACUCAGCAAAAUCAACCGAACCUGACUCAAUAGGUUUCAUGAGAUACGCAGCCAAUAACUCAGAAGCCAAAGCUGCAAUCAGAGGGAUCUUUUUGAAAUUCUUCACCAGUGGAAUCUCAUCACUCUCACUAACAGCAAUUAGUUUGGUGUUAAUCUCCACCAUCCUGUCCAACUUCCUCUU